GACGAACGCUGGCGGCGUGCUUAACACAUGCAAGUCGAACGGAAAGGCCCUGCUUUUGUGGGGUGCUCGAGUGGCGAUCGGGUGAGUAACACGUGAGUAACCUGCCCUUGACUUUCGGAUAACUUCAGGAAACUGGGGCUAAUACCGGAUCGGAGCUCCUGCUGCAUGGUGGGGGUUGGAAAGUUUCGGCGGGUGGGGAUGGACUCGCGGCUUAUCAGCUUGUUGGUGGGGUAGUGGCUUACCAAGGCUUUGCCGGGUAGCCGGCAUGAGAGGGUGACCGGCCACAUUGGGACUGAGAUACGGCCCAGACGCGGACGGGAGGCAGAAGGGGGAAGUAUUGCACAAUGGGAGGAAGCGUGAUGCAGAAACGCCGCGUGCGGGAUGACGGUCUUCGGGUUGUAAACCGCUUUCGCCUGUGACGAAGCGUGAGUGACGGUAAUGGGUGAAGAAGCACCGGCUAACUACGUG
rnacentral:rRNA from 1 species